GAUGGCGGGGAAGAGCAGCGGCGGCUCCCGGUGGCUCCCAGUGUCUCCCAGCUCCACGGGCGGCUGGAGCGGCCGCCGGUCCCUCCCCUUCCUGCCGGGGCCUGGACGGGGGAGCCGGGGCGGGGUGCCGCGGGGCCGGGAUGAGGUAGCCGGGAGGCUGUGGUAGGACGGUGCUCAGCUGGAGCGAGAGAGGGAUUUUUAAAACAGUGUUUUUUGGGGAGGGUAGGGGGAAGAGCGCGCAGACGUUUUUCUCGUCACGAAAGGUCAUUCCCCUUGGAAAAGCAUUUGAUGUCGACAGCCGACCCUAGGCGGCUCCAGGCUCCAUGGCAGCCGCCAGCGAGGAUUUUUCCCUUCUCCCGGGAUGGAGCCGGGCGGAGGGUGCUUGGGACCGCUCCAAACACCCUUCUCUUCCACAGCCUCUCCCCGGCUCCUGUGCCAGCUUCCUUCCAAACUGGGCACCCUGUUCGUAUGACAGCCUCCUUCCCCAGCCUUUGCAUCCCUGCCUGUGGCUCCUAUGCCAGCUCCCCUAGAGCUGUGCCAUCCCAGCUGGCUCCAGCCUUGGCCGUCACCUUGGAGAGAACUCGUUCCCACCACACAAACAUGGGCAGCCUUUGGAUUGAUGUGGUGGUAACCCUCACAUCCAGGGGGUUUGUUGCUGGUCAGGUUCUAAAAUGGAAAACACAAGUGUUGUGCGCAGGAAUGGGCACCGUUUGACGGGUUUGUCUUGCCAGGUUGUGUGCAGUUAAAAAAGUUCGUGUUUGGGGUGUUCUGUGCCAGGGAGCCCCAGGCUUGGGCUGGAUGGAUGGAACAGCUGUUGGAUGAGUUGCACUGCUCUGAAGGGAUAACAGCAGCAGCUCCUCAAAGCUUUCAUGUGUCAGGAGACUAUCAGCAAGAGGAAGGAGAUGUGUCCCAGUCUUUAGGGAGUGCUCAUCAUCUACUUCCUUAGCGAAGAGGCAGUAGGACUAAUUCGCAUGCUAGGAAGCCUGCAAACCCAAUUAGUACCCAUGCCCUUGGCUACCAGACCAGAGACUAGUGGGUGAGGCCUCCCCUGAGCUCUUGCCAAAUGACUUUGUUCUGUGGAGAGAGAGGGAAUGUUCAAAUGGAUCUGCCUAAAGCUGUCCCUGCUUUUCCUUUCUGAUUAGUUCCAUGCAGAUUUGUGGCUGACUCUGAAGUGUUUCAGCAUGUGGCACCUAGGCAAGGUGCUCCAGAGGAGGUGGAGGCAAGGGCCAUGUUUAAAAUCCACAUGGGGCAGAUGUGUGUGGGUGUAGCUGGGGUCACUCUGACAGAUCUAUCAGAUUGUGCUGCAUUCCUUCAGGCAGCCCUAGGGAGCCCUCAGGAGCCGUCACCCAUCUUCUUGCGAUGUGCCUGAUGACCAUCAGCCAAAGCUGGCAGGAAUUGGAGUGGUGGAGCUGCACAGGAACGGAGCAGUAACACCUGAAACCCUCGGUGAUGUCAGCCUGCAUCAUGCUAGACAUGCAGAGUUCUGCUGACCCAGAAGCACAUCACCCAAUCCAGCUCUGCUGUUUACAGAGAGUUUUUCCUGCUGGACGCCAUCCCAUUCCUGAGUGGAGAUUUUCUUCCCCUCAGACAGAAGACACCAACGAAGAGAAAAUUAGUCUUCCUUGAGGGUUUGAAAAUUCUUCCCUGAUCCUAUGUUUUUUGGAGAGUGAUGCUGCAAAGGGAAGGGUGGAGUCACCAUCCCUGGAGGGAUUUAAAAGACAUGUAAAUGUGGCACUUGGGGACAAGGUUUAGUGUUGGUCUUGGCAGUGCUGGGUUAAGAGUUGAUUUCGAGGAUCUCAAGGGUCUUUUACAACUUCAAUUAUUUUGUGAUGCUGUGAUUCUUCUUGUAUUCUUUCAGCAGCUGCCUGUGAAACAAAAUGUCAGUAAUUACAAGAGUACUUCCAUAGUAUUUCUUUCUGCACUUGUGACAGUGUGGAAAAAAACCCUCUGGCAAAUAAGAAAUUCCUGUUGAGAGACAGGGAAAUUACAAUUCAUAGCUCUGUCUGCUCAAUAAUUGCAGAUUGGCUGGAUGGGGGCUGGUGGAUGUGGAGCUUUUAUCAGCCUUGUUAGCAUCUGGUUCAUCCUGUGUUUAACUUGGUUAACUGGUGCCUCUUCUGAAAGUGACAUCAAUAAAAGCUGCAUUAAUAUUAACAACC